AUGAGAUGUCCAGCCACGUCAGCAAUGUACCAGUGAACUCCCAGCUUUAAGCAUCAGUCAAGAUUUCAGUGUUCAUCUGUGAGACUAUUUCCUUGGCUCAGUUUUAAAAAAGUUCCCUAUCUCUCAUACAGAUCUCUACUAGAACACCUUUUCCUGAAGGUAGCUUACCAGCGGGAGGCACAGAGCUCAGGAAAGUUUGUACGAGACAGAAGUCUGUGAGAUUUAUAUUCUUAUGAUCAACUUAUUCAGCUCAUUGGAUAUUCUACCAGAUUUCAAAUAGGAGCUCCAGG
rnacentral:lncRNA from 1 species